CUGAUGCAGCCAUGCCGCGUGUGUGAAGAAGGCCUUCGGGUUGUAAAGCACUUUCAGCGAGGAGGAAAGGUUAGUAGUUAAUACCUGCUAGCUGUGACGUUACYCGCAGAAGAAGCACCGGCUAACUCCGUGCCAGCAGCCGCGGUAAU
rnacentral:rRNA from 1 species